GUAACACGUAGUCAACAUGCCCAGGGGACGUGGAUAACCUCGGGAAACUGAGAUUAAACCGCGAUAGGUCAAGAUUUCUGGAAUGGAUCGUGUCUUAAAUCUACAUGGCCCCUGGAUUGGACUGCGGCCGAUCAGGCUGUUGGUGAGGUAAUGGCCCACCAAACCUAUAACCGGUACGGGCUCUGAGAGGAGAAGCCCGGAGAUGGGCACCGAGACAAGGGCCCAGGCCCUAUGGGGCGCAGCAGGCGCGAAACCUCUGCAAUGGGCGAAAGCCUGACAGGGUUACUCUGAGUGAUUUCCGCUAAGGAGAUCUUUUGGCAGCUCUAAAAAUGGUGCAGAAUAAGGGGUGGGCAAGUCUGGUGUCAGCCGCCGCGGUAAUACCAGCACCCCGAGUGGUCGGGACGAUUAUUGGGCCUAAAGCAUCCGUAGCCGGUCGUGCAAGUCCUCCGUUAAAUCCAGCCGCUCAACGGAUGGGCUGCGGAGGAUACUACAGGACU
rnacentral:rRNA from 1 species